UCUAGUUCCUAUAUUGUGACUCAGAUAAAUACAAUAUCAUGCUAUGAUUAGCAUUUGAUAAUAAUUUUGAGUUUUUAAAAAUGCAAACUUUUUGCUUAAAAAACACCAAUGACUUCCCAUUGCCUGUAAGAUGAAUCUAUACUGUCUAACAUGGCUUGUUUUCACCCUGUAACUCUGAAUCAUUCCACAAAUACUCAUUAAGCGUCUAUCAUGGGCCAGGCAUGGUUGAUCCUGCUAAAGAUACAGUAGUGAUCAAAACAGACAAAAACCCUUGCCCUGCUUGAACUUGGUAAUACCAGAUUGUGGGCCUUUGCCCACACCCUUUGCUCUGCCUGAGGCUUUCUCUCCAUCUCCCCAUUAUUCUGCCUUUGCCUGAUCAACUCUUACUCAUCCUUCCAGUCUCACUGUAGAGACCGUAUAUUUAGGAAGUAUAAUGAUUAAUUUAAUGUGUCAAUUUAGCUGGGCCACAAUGUCCACAUAUUUGGUCAAACCUGAUUCUGGAUGUUUCUAUGGAGGUGUUUUUUUUGGAUGAAAUUGACAUUUAAAUUGGCGGACUUUGAGUAAAGCAGAUUGCCUUCCAUGAUGUGUGUAGCCCUCAUCCAGUCGGUUGAAGGCCUGAAUAGAGCAAUGACCUCUCCUUAUCAAGUGGUUCUGCUGUCCUUGGACUCAAAAUACAAAUCUUUCUUUAGUCUCUAGCCUGCUUACCCAUCCCAUCAGAUUUUGGACUUGCCAAGCCUCUACAAUCAUGUGAGCCAGUUUCCUAAAAUAAAUCUUUAUGUACACAUCCUAUUGGUUUUAUUCGUCUGGAGAACUCUAAUACAACAAGGCCCUCUUGACUCUUCAAGUCUGUGUUAGGAGCUCUUCCUACACUUUCUCGUAGCAUUGUGUGCAGUUCCUAGCAUAGAGAUCAUCGUAGUGAUCUACGUAAAUGUAUAUGGCCCUACAUUUGUCAUCUACCACAAAAGAUACUCCAACACUGUGGAGCUGUGUUAGACUUCCUGGGAAAUAAAGAAAUAGACACACCUCUGUUGCCUUGGCUAUCGUACAGAGGCAUGGACGUGAGGAGAACAGGUACCCACUCUGACAAUUGAACAGUCAGCUCAUGGAGACCUGAAACCUUAUGCACAACACCUUCCCGGCAGGCCAGUAGCAACUCCAGCACUAUCCCAUUUUUGUGUGGCAGUUUUCAUUUGUCCUUGCUUCUGCCUCUAUUUUUCACUUUGCUUUUCUUCCCACUGCAUUUACUGAUGCCUUUUCUCUCUGCUCUAGUUCUCUGCUAUAUCAUGACUUCUCUUUAAUAGUAGCUUCUACUACCUAUGGCUUCUACUACUUCACAGCUUUGGUUUACUGCCUAUGUGUCUUUCAAAGUGUGUGGCCCACUACUCUCUAUAGACCUCUCUACGUGUCACAUCAAAUUCCCCAAGGUGAAGAUCUGAUUGACUAGUUCAGUGUUUGGUGUAUAAUAACCCUGUUGAAUAGGAUUCUUCCUCAGAGUCACUGCAUGAGCUUCUCUGAUAGCCAUUUCACAAGUGGCUGACUUUGGGAUAGGUGCUAGUUCUAGGUACAAAAUUUAGAAUAAAUAUUUCAGAAAUAAAGAUCACAAAAUGCAGAGUAAUUCAGGUAUAACUAAUUGUGUGUGGACUCUAUUCAGAAGACUAGGAGUCUAAUAGGUUCACUGUGUAGGCAAUUACCAAUUUUUGUUUAAUUUUUAAAAUAUUAUUAUUUAUUUAUAGAUUGUGUUUAUACAGGCCAAGGUAAAUUGAAGAGUUUAGCUAUGCUAUGAAGUUUCUCUCUAUAGUGAUAAUAUCUGAUAAUGUAUAGGAUAUCAAAGAAUUAUAUGCCGAGAAGGGUCAGAAAUCACCUUGUCCAGCAGGUCUCAACUCCUUGGUCUCAAUCAGUUUACAAUCCUAAAAAUUACUACGGACCCCAGUGAACUUUAGUUUAAGUGAGUUGUAUCAAUCAAUGUUUAUUGUAUUAGUUAUUGAAGAAUAAUUUUAAAUAUUCAUUCCUUUAAAAAUAAUAGUAAUAAAUACCUUAUAAAUAAAAUAACAUAUUUUAUGAAAAAUACGUUUGUAUUAGUGAGAAGACUGGUGUCGUCUUGCCUUUUUUUGUCGAUCUUUUUAAUGGCUAGUUGAAUGAAAGAUAGCUGGAUUCCCAUAUUUGCUUCUGCAUUUAAGCUAUUAUAAUAUCAUAUGUCAUGUAGCCACUAGAAAACUCCAUGGUGUACUUGUGAGCAAACAAGAGUGAAAAAGGCAAAUGACACCUUAGUGUUAUUAUGAAAGAGUUUUGAUUUCAGAGACAUCCUGAAAAGAUUUCAGAGACCCCAGGGUCCCUGGACCACAUUUUGAAAAUCUUGAACAUGGUGGCAGAAGUGGGGUUAGAACUCAGUAUCCUGUUUAUUCAUUAUGUCAGGAUUCAAGCACCAACAAACCAACUGCCCACAUUCUGGUCCAAAGAGUAGACAAAAUGCCAGGUGUCCACCUGUCUCUUGCUGUGAAAACCUGGCCUCAGAGGAGUGAACCAGGCUCUGGGAGGUGAAGAGAUUGGUGACAUUUCACAGCCAUCAAAAGGGACACAAAGAUAAGAACACAGGAUCCAAGAGAUCUCAUCCUUGUCCUUUCGUUGGUCUGUGUAUGCUGCAGUUUCACUCUAAACCUGAUGUACUGAAGGUUUGUUAUAGAGAAAUAAACCAAUAAAUCGGAAGAAAGAGGACAUGAUUUGUUCACACCAGUCCCUUUCAGCAUUUCCCAGGUUAGAUCAGAGGGGCAAUUCUAGGAGCAGCAGUCUGUAUUAUUGCCUUUAAUUUCCCCAUGGCCCAGACUAACAUUGUCUUUUCCCUUUGUUACGCUUUUGGCAGAAGGUCUUUCCCUCAUGGUUAGACUUAAUUGGAAUCCAAGCCAAAGGGGGAUGGGACAGGCUGCCAUGUUGUAGCACUUUCCUGAGCCAAUUCUUCAGGGAAUAUCUGUGUUCCGUUGAUAUAAUGUGUAAUACAAGGCUUAUUGCACAGUACAUGGGAUUAAAAGAGGAUUUUAAUUUUAAAUUUCU
rnacentral:lncRNA from 1 species